UUGAACGGUAACUCGGAAUACAGAAACACAGGAUCUGACUGAGCUGACAAAGCGAAGAGAUCGAGACCCUCAGAAAGUUCGGAUAUUUAGCAUGACCCGGCGGGCCUUCCAGGGGCUGCUGGACGGAAAUGCUCCGGGGCUCUAGGGCUCGGGGCCCGGAACGCAGGAGGCACCGCGCCCGCCCCGCGCCCACUCACACCUGCCGACGGGCCGCGUCCUCCUGAGGAAGAGCUGGGAGCUCGACGGGAGCUCGAAGAAGCCGGGCGGCGCAGGACGGCGCAGAGACCCACCGCGAUGGAAAAACCAGCAACUGGCAGAGCUGGUAUUGAAAACAAGGUGGUCACCUGUCACAGUGUCUGCUUAGAGCACUAUGCAGUAUGGCUUCUGGAUUUUACGGCAUGUCUGACUCUUUGGAUAAAUGUCAUCACACCUCUCAUGGACUAUCUCGUCCAUUUCUAUGGCUCAAGGUUGUUAUGGUAAUUGUGCACAAAGGGAUGGAGAGACAUGUGAGACGGAAUACAUUUAUUGAGGGGCUACUAUGAAUCCAGUGCUCAUCGAGAGAGAGAGAGAGAGGCAGAGACACAGGCAGAGGGAGAAGCAGCCUCCAUGCAGUGAGCCUGAUGUGGGGCUCGAUCCCAGGACCCCGAUCACACCUUGGGCUAAAGGCAGAUGCUCAACUGCUGAGCCACCAAGGGAUCCUGAGCCUUGCUGGCGCAAGUUUUUUGGUCAUCAGGAUUUUCUCAUGAAGGCAGAAGACUCAUUGAUGAAAAAGUCAGUUUCUAAGAAUAUGGCUAAACAUACCUACCUUACUCUCCCCCCCCCUUUUUUCCCACUGAAAGAGCAAACUACCCUUCCUUACCACGGAAAGAAAACGUAUGAUGAUAAACCUGGAUGGACGGGGGAUUGGUACAAUAUGGAUUCUUUGGAAAAGUGAUAGACUCCUUGAAGUGAAGUUGCUAAACAAAGGGCAUGCACUCAGUAAGGAUGUUUGGUGCACAUUUCCAGCUGCUGUACAGAAGAGUUGCACCGUCGUUCACCAGCAGAAAAUGGGAGUGCCUUUUCCCAUGGAUCCUCAGGAAUACUGCCACCUUUAAAAAACAAAAUAAAACAA